GGUGAUGCUGAUAUUGGAGUGCAUCUGAGG
rnacentral:piRNA from 4 species